CCCAUUUAGGACACCAGAUCCUCCUCACACCUCACCCAGCCAGGCCAAAGAGCCCAGGAACUCCCAAGUGCAGCACCCUGACACUCACACCAUUUUCUUGUGCACACACGUUUUAGAGGCACAACAUUUCCCAGCUCCUAAUCAAUCAGCCCUCUCCUAACGAGCACUUAGCAUCCAAAUUACCUUUCCUAAAGGCCAUUUCGCAGAGAAGGGUUUCAUGUUGUCAUCCAGUCUGCCUCUGCUGCCUUCCAGGAGCUCAUAAAACAAUUAUUGUCCCACUGCAUUGUCACUUCAGCUAUGGAUGCAAGCAGCUGAUGAGAUUGAUUGCUUCCACAAUACCCAAUUAACCCACUCACUCUGCAAACGAUUGACUUAAUCAAAGGCAAUUAGUGCUUGAAUGGCUACAGCAGACAGAGAGCCAGGAUUUAGGGGAUGAUUCAGAUAAUGUUGUACAGACAUCUCCUUGGCCUUCUGAGGGAAAACAUCUUCACCAGCGCUCAGCUCAGAGCUGGAAGUAGAUGAAACCUCAGAGCCUGGAGAACCAAGCAGUUGACCAGACCUCAGUGACCAACAGGUCCUGAAAUGGUAACUUGCCUCUGACAGUCAGACCAGUCCUCUGAGCAAAGUCAACACUAUUUUACAAAUCCACCUUCAAUACUGAUUUCUUCCACAGCAUCUUCCCCUACAAUGUAAAGAAAAAACCACCCCAAGAGACUCAGUCUGGAGGCAGGACCACAUCUCUGUAGAAAGGCAGGUGUCAGUGCCCUCAGGGAUUUUUCCUCUAGACAAAUCACCCCAAACUGGCACAGCAGAGACCAGACAAAGCCUCAGCACGGGAGGGUCAAGAACAGCCCAUGACACCUAAAGCAGAGGACAGAGAUAAUUUCAGAUCAUGUGAGGAACAACUUCACGCCUGAAGCCAAGCAUGGAAAACCAAUUCUCCAGAUCACUACAAAAAGAUACUGUCACCUUGAUUUUGUAAUGUUAGAAGGUGAUCCCAGGUGCUGGGAUCACUGUGGAAAAUGGAGCCAAAUGCACCAUCUCUGUGGAAGGUCCAUGGGGCUGAGCUCAACUACACAUCCAGAUCCUGAGGCUGACAGAAAGAAGACAGGUCUGUGCCCCCACACAGGCAAGAGGCAUUUAAAUGCAAGGUUCAUCUUGCAUUUAAUUUAAUAAAAUGCAAGGUUUCCAG